CUACGGGUCGCUGCAGUGAGGAAUAUUGGUCAAUGGACGCAAGUCUGAACCAGCCAUGCCGCGUGCAGGAUGACGGCCCUAUGGGUUGUAAACUGCUUUUAUUAAGGAAUAAACCCCAUUACGUGUAAUGGGCUGAACGUACUUAAAGAAUAAGCAUCGGCUAACUCCGUGCCAGCAGCCGCGGUAAUACGGAGGAUGCAAGCGUUAUCCGGACUCAUUGGGUUUAAAGGGUUCGCAGGCGGCGUAUUAAGUCAGUGGUGAAAUCCCCCGGCUCAACCGGGGAACUGCCAUUGAUACUGGUAUGCUAGAGUAUAGUUGGCGUAGGCGGAAUAUUUCAUGUAGCGGUGAAAUGCUUAGAUAUGAAAUAGAACACCGAUCGCGAAGGCAGCUUACGAAACUAUAACUGACGCUCAGGAACGAAAGCGUGGGGAGCGAACAGGAUUAGAUACCCUGGUAGUC
rnacentral:rRNA from 1 species